AACGGAGUAGAACACAGGGAUGCCCCAGUAACGGCGAGUGAAGCGGCAACAGCUCAAAUUUGAAAUCUGGCCCCUUGGGGUCCGAGUUGUAAUUUGUAGAGGAUGCUUUUGAUGAGGCGCCGCCUGAGUUCCCUGGAACGGGACGCCAUAGAGGGUGAGAGCCCCGUCUGGCUGGCCGCCGAGUCUCUGUAAAGCUCCUUCGACGAGUCGAGUAGUUUGGGAAUGCUGCUCAAAAUGGGAGGUAUAUGUCUUCUAAAGCUAAAUACCGGCCAGAGACCGAUAGCGCACAAGUAGAGUGAUCGAAAGAUGAAAAGCACUUUGAAAAGAGGGUUAAAUAGUACGUGAAAUUGUUGAAAGGGAAGCACUUGUGACCAGACUUGGGCUUGGCGAAUCAUCCGGCGUUCUCGCCGGUGCACUUUGCCUCGUCCAGGCCAGCAUCAGUUCGUCGCGGGGGACAAAGGCUUCGGGAACGUGGCUCCUCCGGGAGUGUUAUAGCCCGCUGCGUAAUACCCUGCGGUGGACUGAGGUUCGCGCAUCUGCAAGGAUGCUGGCGUAAUGGUCAUCAGUGACCCGUCUUGAAACACGGACCAAGGAGUCGUCUUCGUAUGCGAGUGUUCGGGUGUCAAACCCCUACGCGUAAUGAAAGUGAACGCAGGUGAGAGCUUCGGCGCAUCAUCGACCGAUCCUGAUGUUCUCGGAUGGAUUUGAGUAAGAGCAUACGGGGCCGGACCCGAAAGAAGGUGAACUAUGCCUGUAUAGGGUGAAGCCAGAGGAAACUCUGGUGGAGGCUCGCAGCGGUUCUGACGUGCAAAUCGAUCGUCAAAUAUGGGCAUGGGGGCGAAAGACUAAUCGAACCUUCUAGUAGCUGGUUUCCGCCGAAGUUUCCCUCAGGAUAGCAGUGUUGAUCUCAGUUUUAUGAGGUAAAGCGAAUGAUUAGGGACCCGGGGGCGCUAUUUAGCCUUCAUCCAUUCUCAAACUUUAAAUAUGUAA
rnacentral:rRNA from 1 species